GACGAACGCUGGCGGCGUGCUUAACACAUGCAAGUCGAGCGAGGCCCACCUUUCGGGGUGGUGUCCGAGCGGCGAACGGGUGAGUAACACGUGGGCAACCUGCCCUCAGCUCUGGGAUAACUCCAAGAAAUUGGGGCUAAUACCGGAUAUGACUGCUGACCGCAUGGUCUGGUGGUGGAAAGAUUUAUCGGCUGGGGAUGGGCCCGCGGCCUAUCAGCUUGUUGGUGGGGUAGUGGCCUACCAAGGCGACGACGGGUAGCCGGCCUGAGAGGGUGACCGGCCACACUGGGACUGAGACACGGCCCAGACUCCUACGGGAGGCAGCAGUGGGGAAUAUUGCGCAAUGGGCGAAAGCCUGACGCAGCGACGCCGCGUGGGGAUGACGGCCUCGG
rnacentral:rRNA from 1 species